rnacentral:rRNA from 1 species
GACAGAGGAUGCAAGCGUUAUCCGGAAUGAUUGGGCGUAAAGCGUCUGUAGGUGGCUUUUUAAGUCUGCCGUCAAAUCCCAGGGCUUAACCCUGGACAGGCGGUGGAAACUACCAAGCUGGAGUACGGUAGGGGCAGGGGGAAUUUCCGGUGUAGCGGUGAAAUGCGUAGAGAUCAGGAAGAACACCGGUGGCGAAAGCGUUCUGCUAGACCUGUACUGACACUGAGGGGCGAAAGCUAGGGGAGCGAAUGGG